rnacentral:lncRNA from 1 species
UCAAUUUCAAUCCACUAUUCAACUUUUUCGUUUCUUUCAAUAUUUCACUAAUAUAAUCAAUCAAUUUAUUUUAAAUUUCUAAUUUUAGAUAUUCACCCUAUUAACAAAAUCCGGACUUUGACGGAUACACGGAUUCCAACCCAACACACCAGUACGGCACAUUGUGCCUAAAAUGGUACAUAGUACCUGAUCAGUAUACGACACAUAAAGUGCCUAAAACGACACACGAGGUGCCUG